rnacentral:misc_RNA from 1 species
GAUGAAGAACGUAGCGAAAUGCGAUACGUAAUGUGAAUUGCAGAUUUCAGUGAAUCAUCGAAUCUUUGAACGCACAUUGCGCCCGCCAGUAUUCUGGCGGGCAUGCCUGUUCGAGCGUCAUUUCAACCAUCAAGCCCCCGGCUUGUGUUGGGGACCUGCGGCUGCCGCAGGCCCUGAAAACCAGUGGCGGGCUCGCUAGUCACUCCGAGCGUAGUAAUACAUCUCGCUCAGGGCGUGCUGCGGGUUCCGGCCGUUAAAAGCCUUAUUUACCCAAGGUUGACCUCGGAUCAGGUAGGAAGACCCGCUGAACUUAAGCAUAUCAAUAAGCGGAGGA